CCAGUGGUAUUGUCAACUUGUAAAAAUCAUAAAAAAUAUUCUUCCACCCUUAAUAGAUUUGUUGAAAUAUCCACACAUCUUAAUAUGAAAGACAUUUGUUCUUAGUGGCUUGCAUUUGGAGUACAAUCAAGUAUAACUAAAAAAUAUUUUGCUUCCUUAACUUCAUUAACAAUUGAUCUUUUAUUUCAAGUGCUACCAUCAAUAUCAGUUUAUUUUGUAUGUUAUGUCCAAGAUAAUGAUCAUGAAUUUCACUAGUUUUAAUACGUCGAAUAUGUUCUUGCAUUGUUGGAUCAAACUUUGCAAUCAUUUCAGUUAAACUUAAAAAGUUUAUGUUUUUC
rnacentral:lncRNA from 1 species